rnacentral:lncRNA from 1 species
CUCUAAUCAAAUAAUAUGUUAUUCCACUAUAUCAUUUUCUUACAUAUCAAACUUUUUAUGAAAGACUGUUUAAAAGAUCAAUCAGAAUAUUCAUUGUGUAUCUUAAUGCCUGCCUUCAAUAGUAGGAAGGCAAUGUUUAGUGAUCUGUGCAUUUGUCAAUUUGUCUCUACUGCAUCAAGUAAGGGUUUUGAUUCCUAUUUCAAUAUUUACUGAACAUAGAUAUGAAUCAGCUUAAAGUUGUGGUUUAAGGUAAUUCAUUUUAGCCUGGUAUUUCUAAUGAGUUGUGGUCACAUCAAUUCUAAAUUUAGUACCAAUGUUCAUGAUGAUGUGCCAAAAUAUGCCAAAUUAGAUAUUUGACCCAGAUUUAACAGUUCACAGAUUAGCUUCAAGUUUAAAUUUGAGGUAGUUUCAAAGACGCUGUGAUGACACUAACUUGAAAUUCAGUAAUCAACAGUUAUUAUAAUAGUGCGAGAAUAUUAAACACACAUUCUUAAAACAACUUUUAUACAAUUUGAUUUUUUUCACAUUGCAGUAAAUAACCUUAUCUAAAUAGUUUUUAAAUACAACUUGAUAUUUAAGUGUCAAAAUAUUUAAGUACAAUUCAUAAUUAAUGCAAUACUAUAAUUAAUCUACAAUACUUGCUAAAAUAUUGUAGAUAAGAAUGGUAAUCAACAAGUAUGCUAACUAUUGAGUUUUGAUCUCAAGUGAUCAUGGUGAUGGAUUGACUGAAUUUGCAAGAAUGGCAGACUUAUGAUUACAAACCAUGCAACAAAGUUAUAUAUUUAUAAAGUCAUAUGACAAGCAUGAUCAUCCUCAUAAUGUAUUCAUUGUAGGACAAUUGAUGCAGAAAUAUCUUUCAUUGAAAGGAAGACAAUUUAUUUGGUUUAAAUCAAUGUAACAAUAUCAAAGUAGUAACUUCAUGAUAAUAAUUUAACAUUUAUGGAUUUAUCGGAUACAUUUAAGUAAAUGAAGAUCUACUGCCCACUUAGUAUGUUAUUGUGUUAUGUAAACAAUUUAUUUGCAUCCUUGUUUUCCUACCCUGUCAUUCAUCAAAGUUUAUAAAACAAUAUUGAAUAAGCAAUAGCAUUAACAUAAUAAAUUAUCUUACAAGGGGAGGUUAUUUUGGACAUUUUUUCAUAGUAUAAAUUGUAUCUUAAACAUUACUCAGCUACCUUUAUUCAAUCUGAAUUUUCAGACAUUUUACUAUAUCGUUAAUUUAAAGCACAUAACAGUAAAGCCUCUCUAAACCUCAACCAUCUGAAGAAUUGAUUGCCAGUAAGUUUGCUCUAUUUUGUUUAGACAAGUUUCACUGUAUAAUUUAAUUUAAAUGUAUAAUCAAACUAAUCAAAAUAAUACAUAUGAAUGUUUCAAUUGUGCUGAAAAC